AGCGCCCAGAGUGAAGGAGCAAAGGGGACUCGGCCGCCAUGUUAGGAGUACUGGGACGAUUCCGCGGAGCCGGGCAGAGGUUUUAGGGGAAUGAUUAACAAAGGCGUCCGAAGAAAUCGUUGUUGGAAGGUGGCCAAAGUGGAAAGAGAGGUUGCUUUGGCCCUGCAAGUAAGAAGAGAGAAGGAAUAGCCUGAAGGAGUAACACUAAAUUUAAAAUGACACUUUUUUACCAACCAGCGAAAGCAGAUGUUCAAAGGGGAUAUUGGCCAGAGUCUGUCACACUAAGAUGAGAAAUAUCCUUUCUUCCUGAAGGUGUCUGACGUGUAAAAAUACUGAUAUACUUUGUGCUGUUUCCUCCCUUCCCUUUUGCACAUUAUUCUGAAACAACAUUAACUAGUUACUUUGCGUCAUUGAAGAUUUUGCACUAGCAAAGUGCACUGUUUCAGACAAUCAAGGAAAUAAAACAUUUCUUGAUGAAAUCCUACCUCGCCUCAACAGGAAACUGAAUUGGAGUCCUCAAUUCUCAGUACAUCAGAACUCGUGUGUGAAAGGAUCAGGAGAGGACCAUAGUAUUGGAGAAUAAAACAUUAUGUGUUGAUGGUUGAGCUUUAUGUCAUCGUGUAGUUAAUGCUAUGACCAUAAAGCCAUUACUGUUAACACUUAAGUUUAUCUUCUGAAAGAAGCCUAUGAAAUAUCUCCAGAAAGACUAGGGGAUUUUCUUCUGUUUGUUUGUUUGUUUGAGAUGGAGUUUGCUCUGUUGCUCAGGCUGGAGUGCAGUGGUGCGAUCUCGGCUCACUGCAACCUCUGCCUCCCAGGUUCAAGUCAUUCUCCUGCCUCAGCCUCUGGAGUAGCCAGGACUAUGCACUGCGCCACCACACCCAGCUAAUUUUGUAUUUUUGGUGCAGACAGGGUUUCCCCAUGUUGGCCAGGCUGGUCUUGAACUCCUGGCCUCAAGUGUUCCGCCCACCUCGGCCCAAAGUGCUGGCCACCGCGCCCAGUCAGACUUGUUUUUUAGUGAAAUAAAUUGUUUUCCUUUAGGACCUUAUUCUUUAUGAUAACAGAUUCCAAGAAUAUGCAGUCUUGUCAAUGGCUGUUUCAUCCUCAGUUUCUUUAAAAAUAAAAUACAAUUAGAAAAUUUUUAGAUAUGCUAUAUCUAUCCAAUCUAUUUUCCUGUCACCCAGUAAGGUUUUCUAUCAUCAGCACAGGUCUAUGAAAGGACAGUAAAGGGUCUCCUGUUACAUACCCUAGCACUAAUGUUUGUAAUAGAAUGUUAAGAUAAGUUGUUUCCAUGUAAUCGGACUAAAUUCAGUCUUUCUCUACCCUCUGUCCUCUAUUUACCCACCUAUGUGUGUGGCCUACUAAUUAUAUUGACUGUACAUGACCAGCAAGUUGUAAGUUCUUUUAAAAGCAGGAGCUCAACCAUAUUUGUAUUCACAUUUCCUUCUGCUUAAAACAGGGCUUUUGUUUCUUCAGCAAAUAUUCAUUCAGUAUCCACUAGGUGUCAGAUAAUAUACAAGGUAGGUUCUAGGGAUUCCAAGAUAAAUAAACACAGAUAUGCCAAUAUGAGUCUGACAGUUUUGGCGGGGAGAGGUGGAAAAUAGAUCUGCAAGCCAAAAAAGCUACAGUAGAAUAAUAUAAAUAUUGUAAUGGCAAUAAAAUACCAGAACUAUUAAUUUUACAUUUAGUAAUCAUUCAGUAUCAAUUAAAUGGGUAAAAUGGAUAUGUUGGCAUGAAUGACAUAUAACUGAAAAAACACUAAGAACUGUAUAGAAAUUGAAUUAGACAUAUGAGUAAUAUUAGUAGGAAGGGGAGAGAAUAUUUGAUUCCAGGUAGGCUAUCAAGCAGGAUGCUUUUUCAGCACAGCCUUGGAGUAAAAUCUGUAACCUUUGAAAACAAUCACAUUUUUGUUCUUAUGCAAUCUUUGUUUUUAAAUGUAUUUAUUGUUUUGGCUCUAGUCCCUGAAUGUUAAAAUUUUAGUGUCAGUGUUAAUUCUCACUUAUCUUCUCCAGACCUUACUCCCUAAUUUUCUCAUUUUCAUUUGCCCCAAUAAGUGCCAACCUUACCUUGAAAAGAAUAGUGGAUUUAUCAGCUUACAAGGACUAAAAAGUCGUCAUUUCCAAAAACAUCUGUCCAAUAAGUCUGCCUCAGUGACUACAUUUCUAGCAUUACAAUGUCAUUCUUAGUACACUGAUUUGAUCUUUACAAAUUACAUAAAUGUAUAAAAUUGUCACAUGUACCCCAAAUUAUAUACAUCUAUUAUGUAUGUAUCAAUAAAAAAAAAAUUUGUAUGCUUUUUCUCCCGUU